AUGCAGGAAACGGAAAGUAAAUCAGAUGAUUCAAAACUUAAACAUCACCAGAACCACAACAUCAAUACCCAAAGUGGCCCUUACAUGGACAUUUUCUUUGGUAUGAGGACAGACAGAACAGACAGGAGCUUCAUGACCUUCAAAAGUAACCAGUCUUUGGCCACAAAACACAUCCCAAACCUUACACAUACAUUUAUGAAACCAACCUUGACGGUCUUGUCAUCAGCACAAGUUAUGACCAAAAGUUGGUCGUGA
rnacentral:lncRNA from 1 species